AGGACGAACGCUGGCGGCGUGCUUAACACAUGCAAGUCGAGCGAGGCCUUCCUUUCGGGGGAGUGCCCUAGCGGCGAACGGGUGAGUAACACGUGGGCAACCUGCCCCUAGCACUGGGAUAACUCCGGGAAACCGGGGCUAAUACCGGAUAUGACCUUUGAGGGCAUCCUCUUUGGUGUAAAGGAUUCUGGCUAGGGAUGGGCCCGCGGCCUAUCAGCUUGUUGGUGGGGUAAUGGCCUACCAAGGCGACGACGGGUAGCCGGCCUGAGAGGGCGACCGGCCACACUGGGACUGAGACACGGCCCAGACUCCUACGGGAGGCAGCAGUGGGGAAUAUUGCACAAUGGGCGAAAGCCUGAUGCAGCGACGCCGCGUGAGGGAUGACGGCCUUCGGGUUGUAAACCUCUUUCAGUACCGACGAAGCGAAAGUGACGGUAGGUACAGAAGAAGCGACCGGCCAACUACGCGCCAGCAGCCGC
rnacentral:rRNA from 1 species